rnacentral:rRNA from 1 species
CUUGGUCAUUUAGAGGAAGUAAAAGUCGUAACAAGGUCUCCGUUGGUGAACCAGCGGGGGGAUCAUUAAAGAGUUGCAAAACUCCCAACCAUUGCUAAACAACCACUGUUUCUUCGGCGGGUGGCCGCAUGGCCGCGCGCACCCCUCUCGGGGGGGACGCACCCCGCCGGAGCACACCAAACUCUUGUCAUUAUUGAUGCUCUGAGUAAAAAACAAAAUUAUUACAACUUUCAACAAUGGAUCUCUUGGCUCUGGCAUCGAUGAAGAACGCAGCGAAAUGCGAUACGUAAUGUGAAUUGCAGAAUCCAGUGAAUCAUCGAAUCUUUGAACGCACAUUGCGCCCGCCAGUAUUCUGGCGGGCAUGCCUGUCCGAGCGUCAUUUCAACCAUCAAGCCUAGUGCUUGUGUUAGGGCCCCGCGGCUGCCGCGGGCCCUGAAAACCAGUGGCGGGCUCGAAGUCGAACCGAGUGCAGUAAAUUUCUUCGCUUGGGAAGGUGACGAGUUCCGGCCGUAAAAAGCCCAACUUUAUCAAGGUUGACCUCGGAUCAGGUAGGACUACCCGCUGAACUUAAGCAUAUCAAUAAGCGGAGGA